rnacentral:rRNA from 1 species
ACGGGAGGCAGCAGUGGGGAAUAUUGCACAAUGGGCGCAAGCUGAUGCAGCAACGCCGCGUGAGGGACGACGGCUUUCGGGUUGUAAACCUCUUUUAGUAGGGAAGAAGCGAAAGUGACGGUACCUGCAGAAAAAGCACCGGCUAACUACGUGCCAGCAGCCGCGGUAAUACGUAGGGUGCAAGCGUUAUCCGGAAUUAUUGGGCGUAAAGAGCUGUAGGCGGUUUGUCGCGUCUGCUGUGAAAACUGGAGGCUCAACCUCCAGCCUGCAGGGGUACGGGCAGACUAGAGUGCGGUAGGGGAGAUUGGAAUUCCUGGUGUAGCGGUGGAAUGCGCAGAUAUCAGGAGGAACACCGAUGGCGAAGGCAGAUCUCUGGGCCGUAACUGACGCUGAGGAGCGAAAGCAUGGGGAGCGAACAGGAUUAGAUACCCUGGUAGUCCAUGCCGUAAACGUUGGGAACUAGAUGUAGGGACCAUUCCACGGUUUCUGUGUCGCAGCUAACGCAUUAAGUUCCCCGCCUGGGGAGUACGGCCGCAAGGCUAAAACUCAAAGGAAUUGACGGGGGCCCGCACAAGCGGCGGAGCAUGCGGAUUAAUUCGAUGCAACGCGAAGAACCUUACCAAGGCUUGACAUAUACGAGAACGGGCCAGAAAUGGUCAACUCUUUGGACACUCGUAAACAGGUGGUGCAUGGUGUCGUCAGCUCGUGUC